rnacentral:rRNA from 1 species
UCUGAGUACUAUAUAAUAGUUAAAACUUUCAACAACGGAUCUCUUGGUUCUGGCAUCGAUGAAGAACGCAGCGAAAUGCGAUAAUUAAUGUGAAUUGCAGACUCAGUGAAUCAUCGAAUCUUUGAACGCACAUUGCGCCCUCUGGUAUUCCGGGGGGCAUGCCUGUUCGAGCGUCAUUACAACCCUCAAGCUCUGCUUGGUGUUGGGCCU